UACGUAGGGCGCAAGCGUUGUCCGGAAUUAUUGGGCGUAAAGAGCUCGUAGGCGGUCUGUCGCGUCUGGUGUGAAAACCCAAGGCUCAACCUUGGGCCUGCAUCGGGUACGGGCAGACUAGAGUGCGGUAGGGGUGACUGGAAUUCCUGGUGUAGCGGUGGAAUGCGCAGAUAUCAGGAGGAACACCGAUGGCGAAGGCAGGUCACUGGGCCGCAACUGACGCUGAGGAGCGAAAGCUAGGGUAGCAAACGGG
rnacentral:rRNA from 1 species